rnacentral:rRNA from 1 species
GCAUAUCAAUAAGCGGAGGAAAAGAAACCAACAGGGAUUGCCCUAGUAACGGCGAGUGAAGCGGCAACAGCUCAAAUUUGAAAUCUGGCUCUCUUUGGGGGUCCGAGUUGUAAUUUGCAGAGGAUGCUUUGGCAUUGGCAGCGGUCUAAGUUCCUUGGAACAGGACAUCACAGAGGGUGAGAAUCCCGUACGUGGUCGCUUGCCUUUGCCGUGUAAAGCUCCUUCGACGAGUCGAGUUGUUUGGGAAUGCAGCUCUAAAUGGGAGGUAAAUUUCUUCUAAAGCUAAAUACUGGCCAGAGACCGAUAGCGCACAAGUAGAGUGAUCGAAAGAUGAAAAGUACUUUGGAAAGAGAGUCAAAAAGCACGUGAAAUUGUUGAAAGGGAAGCGCUUGCAGCCAGACUUGCCCGCAGUUGCUCACCUAGGCUUUCGCCUGGGGCACUCUUCUGCGGGCAGGCCAGCAUCAGUUUGGGCGGUUGGAUAAAGGCCUCUGUCACGUAUCUUCCUUCGGGAUGACCUUAUAGGGGAGGCGUAAUGCAACCAGCCCGGACUGAGGUCCGCGCAUCUGCUAGGAUGCUGGCGUAAUGGCUGUAAGCGGCCCGUCUUGAAACACGGACCAAGGAGUCUAACAUCUAUGCGAGUGUUUGGGUGUCAAGCCCGAGCGCGUAAUGAAAGUGAACGGAGGUGGGAACCUUUUAGGUGCACCAUCGACCGAUCCUGAUGUCUUCGGAUGGAUUUGAGUAAGAGCAUAGCUGUUGGGACCCGAAAGAUGGUGAACUAUGCUUGAAUAGGGUGAAGCCAGAGGAAACUCUGGUGGAGGCUCGCAGCGGUUCUGACGUGCAAAUCGAUCGUCAAAUUUGGGCAUAGGGGGCGAAAGACUAAUCGAACCAUCUAGUAGCUGGGUCCUGC